GGCUCAGAAUGAACGUUGGCGGCGUGGAUUAGGCAUGCAAGUCGAGCGAGGAAAGUUGUAGCAAUACGGCUUAUUCGAGCGGCGUAAGGGGCAGUAAUACCUGGGAACGUACCCUUUGGUCGGGGAUAGCUGCUGGAAACGGCGAGUAAUACCCGAUGAACUCGAGAGAGCAAAGGCUUGCCGCGGAGGAGCGGCCCAGGCGAUAUUAGCUAGUUGGUGGGGUAAUGGCCUACCAAGGCUUAGAUGUCUAGCGGGUGUGAGAGCACGACCCGCGCCACUGGCACUGAGACACUGGCCAGACGCCUACGGGUGGCUGCAGUCGAGAAUCUUCGGCAAUGGGCGAAAGCCUGACCGAGCGACGCCGCGUGCGGGAUGAAGGCCUUCGGGUUGUAAACCGCUUUGGUCCGAAAGAAAGGGCAACUUGAUCGAUCGGAGAAACAAGGACGGGCUAAGUUCGUGCCAGCAGCCGCGGUAAGACGAACCGUCCAAACGUUAUUCGGAAUCACUGGGCUUAAAGGGCGCGUAGGCGGCCGAGCGGGUCACGGGUGAAAUCCCCCAGCUUAACUGGGGAACUGCCCUUGAUACCACUGCGGCUCGAGGAAGGAAGGGGUCAUGGGAACUGUCGGUGGAGCGGUGAAAUGCGUUGAUAUCGACGGGAACGCCUGUGGCGAAAGCGCAUGACUGGUCCUUUUCUGACGCUGAGGCGCGAAAGCCAGGGGAGCAAACGGGAUUAGAUACCCCGGUAGUCCUGGCCUUAAACGAUGAGAACUAGGUAGUGGGUCCGACCUGGGCACACUGCCGAAGCGAAAGUCUUAAGUUCUCCGCCUGGGGAGUAUGGUCGCAAGGCUGAAACUCAAAGGAAUUGACGGGGGCUCACACAAGCGGUGGAGCAUGUGGCUUAAUUCGAGGCUACGCGAAGAACCUUACCCAGGCUUGACAUGUGCGAAAGCGCCAAGUGUACCCUGCGGAAACGUAGGGGAACCUCGCAAGAGG
rnacentral:rRNA from 1 species